rnacentral:lncRNA from 1 species
GCAGGUUUAUUUUCAGAGUUAUAGAAGUCCUCAUGUAAAAGCUCUCAAGUUAUUAUAAUUUCAGGGACAAAUAUUAAGUACAUAAGAAAACCUCUCAGAUAUUAUAGGCUUUGAUUGCAGUGUGAAUGGCUGACUUGAAACUGACAUCAACUACUUCUUGGGGAAGACAGCUCAACACAAAAAGGAUGUUUGUGAUCUGGAACUGAAUCUUCAAUAUCUCCAAGAUUUUGAAAGUCUUACGAUGAAGAUGCCAGAUGUAUCAGAUGGAAGCAUACUGGAUUCCCGAGUCUCCAGUUGGAAGAAAGCUUUCUGACACACACUGUAAUAUCAGUAAAAAUAAGCAACAAUCAUAUUAAGUCACUGAGAUCAGGAGGUGCUUGCUAAAACAGUUAGUUAAUACUAACAGCAGUAAUGCAAACAGUGUGGUUUUAAGAGGAAGACAUCAAGUUUCUUUUUUUUAAUGCAGUAAAUUCCAAAGUCAGAAGCUGAAGUCAGAACUAGUAAGGUAUAUACAUAAAAGAAAAAGGAGUACAGUGAGUGUCCAUGACCUUUUCAGGUAGCUAACCUUGAACAACAUGUAUUUCAUCUUUAUAUUUACAUGAUUUUCAUUUAGUGAGAAAUAAGAUGUUGCAUCUGCUCACAAAUAGAUAGCCUCCUGGGGAGUAUACUUCUCCCAUGAGUGUGUACUCUGAGAAUACAAAAGUUAUAAUAGAAAGUGAAUGGAAUGGAUGUCAGCAGAUUCCUUUAUAUGUUCCAGCAAAAUAUUCUACGUGUAAAGAAAGAAGUAAUAGAAAAUAUGAAUCAAGUUUCAUAAGAGUACUUUUUUCCACACAAAGCAUAAAUUUUACCCUGCAGUAUGCAGUUAUAAAAUCUGUAUUUUAACAGGAAGGAAAUAAACCAAUGUAUAU